UGACGGAUAUCUUUAGUUCAGAAAGAACCACCAGCAAAACUUAAAAUAUAUGAUACAAGUAAACAAGAUAUAACAUGAAUUUAGAGCAAAAAGCAAAGUCAAAAGAAAAGGCAAUACAAACAGCAGCAGCAAAACCCAAAUAGCAAUAACAUAAUAUCAUUAUUACAAAUUUAUAAAACUUGGAGAAUUGGAGAUUAGACAGAUGCAUGAUUUGUUCAAACUGAACUCAUCAAUGGACAAAGGUUUCAAUCUUACCUUUCAAUAUAUAUAUAAAGGUAGCAAAGUUCUAGAGUCCUCAGCCCUCAAUUUCAUAUAUACAAGUCCCACCAAUUUAAAUCAUAAAAAGAAUCUACUUGUUUUAAAGUUCAUUUUCAUUGCUUCUGUUAUAGUCAUCAAACAACACUAAACACCCCUUCACUCAAGUAUAUGAAGCUCAAAUCUGCCUCCCAAUUCCCAAAUGCUCAAAUCAAAGGCAUCAAUUUAUCAACAACAAAUAAAAAAAAACACACUUUAAUAGUGUUUCUCUAACAGAUAUUCAAAAACAAAGCUCUAUUUGUCUCAUUUUAGCUCACAAAACAACCGAUUCACCAAGCAAAGCAAAAUGAAAAAAAAAAAAAAAAAAAACAAAGAGAAAAAUUUCACCGAUAACAAACAGAUCACGAACAAAACUAAAUCCAGAGUAAAGAGGCGAACCUGUUCCACCAUCACCAACGAUUACGAGCUUGAAG